GGAAUUCCUAUGGCUGCCAGUAGAAAGAUGGAAGGUGGUAGUAUAUAAAGACAACUGCUCGGUGACAAAGACUAAGUGUUGCUGACCUUUUACCUGGAUAUUCAUCCCUUGCCUCCUAUAUUCUACCAGCUUUCAUCAACUCCAGGGAGCCAGCGUUCUGGGGCUUUGAGUGUGAAUCCUGCCAAGCCUAUUCAUCAUCUAUUCAUCAAGUAGAACAGAUGAUCUCUGCUGCGGAGCAGCCUUGCCUAAUGGAAACAUCUGCAGCUGGUUACACACAAAAAAUGCAAAGUGAGGUUUCCACCUUCAACUGUGGG